CUCCACUUCAUGUCCCUGGGAAUUAAGUUUUGUAAUUGUGGAUUGUUAAUGUUCUUUCUCAUAUUUUUUAGAAAGGGAAAAUGAGUGGAAAACCCAUUCCUCUUCGCCAGCAGUGUGUGGCAGGAAGAUGGGAAAGUGUGCCUGCAGUGCAGAGUUUCUGUGUGACUUAGAGCCAGGAUGUCUUCUGAUACUCCAAAUGUUGCCUGUCAAGAUGAAAUCAUUCCAACCACAGUGUUUUUCAAGAUCUAGAACUUACAAGUCACAUCGCUGGACUAAUACUGCAUAUAAGAAGAAAAAAUGGAGAGGUUCCCAGGAGAAGUGUUCUGCCUCUGGAGAAUCAAAACUGAAUAAGACGUUACAAGAAAUUUCCUUUAAAAAUGAAAAUCUCUUUUAAGCCUGAGAGAAUUGACUUACCAGGAACACAUUUAAAGCUCUGAAGAGAGGCUCUUAUCAGCAGCACUACAUGCAUCAGACAGUAUCCUAGAAAAAGUGAUUACUGUAUUGUUACUGUUGCUCAAUUUUACCUCUCCAUAAUAUGAAUAUGUCUCUUUCCUCUUCAUUUUUCAGCAAGAAGAAAGGGAAAUAAGAAAGUUGAAGAAAAAAAACAAAUAAAAAAAUAAAACUCAUAAAAAGAAGUACUAGA
rnacentral:lncRNA from 1 species